rnacentral:rRNA from 1 species
AACGAACGCUGGCGGCAGGCCUAACACAUGCAAGUCGAGCGAGGACUUCGGUCCUAGCGGCGGACGGGUGAGUAACGCGUGGGAACGUGCCCUUUGCUUCGGAAUAGCCCUGGGAAACUGGGAGUAAUACCGGAUGAGCCCUUUGGGGGAAAGAUUUAUCGGCGAAGGAUCGGCCCGCGUUGGAUUAGGUAGUUGGUGGGGUAAUGGCCUACCAAGCCGACGAUCCAUAGCUGGUUUGAGAGGAUGAUCAGCCACACUGGGACUGAGACACGGCCCAGACUCCUACGGGAGGCAGCAGUGGGGAAUCUUAGACAAUGGGUGAAACCCUGAUCGAGCCAUGCCGCGUGAGCGAUGAAGGCCUUAGGGUUGUAAAGCUCUUUCAGCUGGGAAGAUAAUGACGGUACCAGCAGAAGAAGCCCCGGCUAACUCCGUG